GGUGAACGCUGGCGAUAGGCCUAACACAUGCAAGUCGAACGGCAGCACAGUAAGAGCUUGCUCUUACGGGUGGCGAGUGGCGGACGGGUGAGGAAUACAUCGGAAUCUACUUUUUCGUGGGGGAUAACGUAGGGAAACUUACGCUAAUACCGCAUACGACCUACGGGUGAAAGCAGGGGAUCUUCGGACCUUGCGCGAUUGAAUGAGCCGAUGUCGGAUUAGCUAGUUGGCGGGGUAAAGGCCCACCAAGGCGACGAUCCGUAGCUGGUCUGAGAGGAUGAUCAGCCACACUGGAACUGAGACACGGUCCAGACUCCUACGGGAGGCAGCAGUGGGGAAUAUUGGACAAUGGGCGCAAGCCUGAUCCAGCCAUACCGCGUGGGUGAAGAAGGCCUUCGGGUUGUAAAGCCCUUUUGUUGGGAAAGAAAAGCAGCAGGUUAAUACCCCGCUGUUCUGACGGUACCCAAAGAAUAAGCACCGGCUAACUUCGUG
rnacentral:rRNA from 1 species